CCAGCUACUGUUACGAGCUACUUUCAAAAAAAUGAGAGAGGAUAGUACACAUAUGAUGAAUAACAAGGUUAGGAAGCCGCAAGAUAUGGAUUUGAGGGCUCCUUGCUGAAACUAAAUGUGGUUGGUCUGCUAUUCCAGUUCGCCCUAUUUUUUCUUUGACAUAUUUUCCCAGCCGCCAAGACUCUUCCGGUAGAACUCUGCCUCUUCGGUGGGUGUCGCUACCCAACGGUGCCGGUGACUGUCUCUAAUUUUGUUUCUUCUGCUUCGCUUUGAUUUAGCUCGAGCCUGUUUGGAGUUUUCCAGAGUUUGUACAUCUCUGAUGAUCUGGCUUUUGCGGAUCCUUUGAGUGCUUUUGAACUGGCGUGUUGUGGGUUGGCAGUUGGGAUUUUGUCUCCUUCAUGUCUCGAUCCAUCUUCGCUACUCUGUGGUAUGGUAGUGGCUUUUAGCCUGCUGUCUUAUUGUCUUUGUGGUGUUUCCCUGGGUUGCUUGUUUGAGUCUUCUGAUGGUUUGAUGCUAGUCUUCCUUGAUGUGUUAUAUCCGGGUUGUGCUCUUACUCGUUUCAUCUGGAAUGGUUAUGUUCUUGUUCCGCUUGCCUCCUUUUGCUAGGUUCAGCUUCUUCUCGGGUUUGUUUCUCUUAAAACUUGUGGAUUGGAGCUGCCUUCUUUGUGGCGCUGUAUUUGGUUUAUUUUUCCUGUUCUUGCCUUCUUUAAGGUUUGAAUCUUGCUUAGUUCGAGAUGGUUCCUUGUUAUGAGUUAAUCGGUUUGUGUUAUUCUGGUUUAAUGGAUUGUACUUGUGGCUUCGUCGGGAUCUUUUGAAUACCUUGGGACGAGGGUUAAGAAAGAUAUCCAUAUUUGCCUUACCUCAAGUCGGUUUUGUGCUGGUUUUUUUGGCACUUUGGUUGAGAGUUCUUUUCUCUUUUCCAGCUAUGCUGGCAGUGUAAUUUGAUAUCCUUUAUGUCUGGACAUGUGACAUAACUCUGGCUGUGAGCAAGUUGUCCGGGAACUUGAGUUUCCCUACGGUUCCUCACUUUUUGCUGAAGGCUCUGGUUUGUUAAUGGUACCUACUGGCAUCAGCUUAUUAUGUCGCUUCUUUCUUUGUUUUAAACUUUCCUUUCAGCUGGUUCUAUUCGGUUCUUUCAAGACCCUGUUGUAACAAUUUAUUCAAUAAGCG
rnacentral:lncRNA from 1 species